rnacentral:lncRNA from 1 species
CUCUAUCAACAUUAAAAGAGAGAAUGUGGUGUGCAUUAUUCAUUUUUGUCUCCUCGUUUUCACACCAAUCCAGAUUCACUACUGUUCAUUAACAGGUUCACUGCUGUUUACUAAAUAUCUCCCCUAUGAAGGUACUUUUUGAUCUCUCUCUCUCUCUCUUCAUUCGUACUUGACGUUUGUAUCUCCAUUUCUGUCGGACUCCAAUAUCGACUUUGGGAACGAGGACGAAGGGGAUUUGGAUUUCAUCGAACUUCAACAUACAGUCUGGGUAUGAGGACGAAGGAGACGACGAUGAUGAAGAAGAAGGAUCCGUUGCGGUGGUCGACAAGGUGGAGAAGGACCUGAAGCUCGACAUCAGCGAUCACAAGGCCAAGGUCGAUUUCGUAACCCUUCCCUUUUCAUUAGCGGUUCUUCGAUAUCGAAAAAUUUUGUUGAACCCAUUUUCCAGUGGCUCCUCCACUCUAAUUGGGAACUCUCAUUUAUUGGUUUCAGUAAAUCUACAUAAGUACCAUUCUUCACCCUUUUGACUACAGUCUUUACAGAAGGUGAGGCUCAGGGUACCUCAGCAACAGUGCCGACAGCAAAGAAAGAAAAGAAUAAAAGAGAGAGCAACCAUAGCUUUGUUCCUGAAUCUGAUGAAGACACGAGGGACAUUCCCGGAAGAUGUGCUUCUUAAAGAAAUGUUUUUCUUCUUCUAAGACCUUGACCACUACUUUUUUGGAGGUAUUUAUGAUUUUAUCUUCGAAAGUACUUCAAUUACAAGUCUGAUUAUGAAGUCAUGAGAGAGGGCUACAAUAUACAGUUUAAAAUUAGUUCAAUUUCACGCCUCAAAAAUUUGCUAUAGAAAUCAUUUUGCAUACUUUGGUCGCUUAGAAAAAUUUCGUCUGCCAUAGACUUGUAUUAACAUUUUACGUUGUGCCUUAUCAUUUUUUCUUUAGCUACAGUAAUCUUAGUUUAUUGUGCCAAGACAUGGAUAAACUAUAAAGUGGAAGUAUGGAGGAGUAUUUUGAAAUUUAUAGGUCUUUGUCCAUUUCUUUAAGAAGGAAUAAGGAUGAUACCAGUCACAAUAGGUUCUUGUCAUUUUGCAACGUGAUUACUUUAAAUAUUGACCUCACAUAAUGAAAUGGAGCAAUGCUAUAAGAAAUCUAUGUUUUGUGAAAUAUGUACUCAAUUUAAAAGGCAAGUGCCAAUGCUUGUUAGAUCAACCAUAAUUUUUUGUACUAAAUUUUGUCUAUGAAAUGGCAAUUGUUCAUAAGGCGAAUAAAACUUUUAAGAUGGAUGUAUGGCGAUAAAAGAAUGGAUGAAAUAAGAAAUGAAUACCCAUAACAAAUCGAGAUGAUUCGAUUGAAGAUAAACAGGAAAAAAAUGAUGACCUAAAUUGUCAGACAUGGAUCGUGUAUAUUCGUUCACAAGAAUCAAUGAGGUCCCAAAAGAAAACAUGUUAGAAGAGAAAGCUGUAAAACAAAAGUAAGUGAUGUGAUUAAAAUAUAUAGUUUUAUUGGGCCAUUCAAUAAUAGUCUUAGAUCAGAUGGUGUGAUGAAGAAAGACUUCAACCCCAAGUUACUAGGACUAUUUUUAGAACUUAUCCAAAAAGAAGUGCUUCUGGUAUGCAUUUUACUAUUGAAUAUGAGAAUAAUAGGAACAGAAGAAGCUCUAACAUCGUGGAAGUAUUUCAGCCUCAAAUCUUUGACUCCACUGUUCCAAAGAUUUUGUGUGAAUGUAGAUUUGGAUUUUUAUUUAUGAGAAAAUGCAGGUAUGUUGGAAACAUUCAUAGCCAGGCGCUAACCCACUUCAUGAAGUUUUUCCAACUACUAUUCAUGUUCAAAGCUUCGAGCUUGUUAGAAAAGAAAAGGUCCAGUCUUCAUACCCUUUUUUUAAUAGCCUUUGAGGCUAAAAUUUUGAUGGGAUGCGAUAAUCAUGUUAGUUUUGGGUUGUGAAAAUUUUGAUUGUCUUCUUUUAUAGUAGCAGUUAUUGUUCUUGAAAAAUGGAAAACUUAUAUGUUAUUUUGCUAUACUUGAUUGUUCAUUGAAGAUCUAAUUUUUAUACCUUAAAGGAGUAAUUCUUAUAUUUCAUGCGAUCCUAUUCUAUGGUUUAUUAAUUUGUCAUUCCUAUUGGAUUCAAAUAAUGAAUGCUGUUAUAGUCUCUUUAUGUUUAAUGGAAUAUGUUCCAUUAUAUAUAUAUAUAUAUAUAUAUAUAUUAUUUUCGUUUUAAUCAUGGUAAACAUUCAUGUACGAGAACAAAAUAUGGGGUCAUGGAAGGAUGAAAUACUAAGCUCUACUAUAGAAGCUCCAAGGUCUACCAGUUUUGUUAGCACACUUGUAUUGGCAAAGAACAGGACAAAGAGGCCUACCAUUCUUUCUGGUUUUCAAAAGUACAGAGGUGGAUAAGAUAUUGCCAAUAGACAUUACUUGGCUGUACGCUCUAUUCUUGUUGCCUUUACCAUCAAUUUUUUUUUUCUCAUUUUGAUUAUAUCUAAUAAAUGUAUAGCCAUAUAAGAAAUUGAUCUGUAGUUUCUUUCAACGUAAUGGAUUGAUGGCUCGUGGGAUUUCCUAGGUACACUCAAAAACGAAGACAAGGGAUUACUUUUACACAAAUUGAUGGUAAAGUUGUACAGAAAUUGGACAUUCAUAACCUAAAGUAUGUAUAUUUCAUAUAUUUCUCUUUUGGGUAAUGCUCUGUUCCCUCGAGACAAUUUUAGCUCCAAAUAUUUCCUAUUUUCAACUCAUCUUUUUUACUACUUAUAUUUCGUGUUUGUUCAUUUGAGCAGUUAGAGAGGCAAACUAUGACUCUGUAGGAGUAGGCCGUAGUGGACGAAGAUAUGAUCAUGGUCGUCGCCGUGGGUACAACAGAGACCCAACCAACAACGAGAAUUUGCAUGGAAAUAUGGAAAUUUUAGGUGGUCAAGGUGCAUUUGGAUAAGUAGUGUAUAGUCUAGUCUUUUGUAGGGAUAAAUUUGAUUAACACAGAACCAAAAUGUCUGCAUGAACAUGUCCCUAAGCUGUAAUUCGAGUAGUGUAUUUUGUGAAAUUCAGUCCAACCGAACUGUCGAGAAUUAUAGAUUUCUAUCUGUCGGGAACGACAAAUUAACCGUCGGGUUGUAGAUCUAUAUUUUGCACCAUGUUCAGCGGAUGCUAUGAAAUGGUGUUUAUCAUGAGCUGAAUUGACUCCACGGAUUACGAUGUUCCAAAUUAUAAUAAAUUUUGUGGGUAUUGAAAAUUA